AACCAUAGAAACCUGCGGAGUACCUGCGGAGGGAUCAUUACAGAGUUGCAAAACUCCCUAAACCUUUGUGAACGUUACCUAAACCGUUGCUUCGGCGGGCGGCCCGGGUCCUUCCCGGCGCCCCUCGGCCCUCGCGGGCGCCCGCCGGAGGUAAACCAAACUAUUGCAUUGUAUGGCCUCUCUGAGUCUUCUGUACUGAAUAAGUCAAAACUUUUAACAAUGGAUCUCAGAUCGGAAGAG
rnacentral:misc_RNA from 1 species